GGUGAACGCUGGCGGUAGGCCUAGCACAUGCAAGUCGAACGGCAGCACAGUAAGAGCUUGCUCUUACGGGUGGCGAGUGGCGGACGGGUGAGGAAUACAUCGGAAUCUACUUUUUCGUGGGGGAUAACGUAGGGAAACUUACGCUAAUACCGCAUACGACCUACGGGUGAAAGCAGGGGAUCAUCGGACCUUGCGCGAUUGAAUGAGCCGAUGUCGGAUUAGCUAGUUGGCGGGGUAAAGGCCCACCAAGGCGACGAUCCGUAGCUGGUCUGAGAGGAUGAUCAGCCACACUGGAACUGAGACACGGUCCAGACUCCUACGGGAGGCAGCAGUGGGGAAUAUUGGACAAUGGGCGCAAGCCUGAUCCAGCCAUACCGCGUGGGUGAAGAAGGCCUUCGGGUUGUAAAGCCCUUUUGUUGGGAAAGAAAAGCAGCAGGUUAAUACCCCGCUGUUCUGACGGUACCCAAAGAAUAAGCACCGGCUAACUUCGUG
rnacentral:rRNA from 1 species